UACAGAGGUGGCAAGCGUUGUUCGGAAUUACUGGGCUUAAAGGGUGCGUAGGCGGCGUGGAAAGUUGGGUGUGAAAUCCCUCAGCUUAACUGAGGAACAGCGCCCAAAACUACCAUGCUCGAGGGAGAUAGAGGAAUGCGGAACUUAGGGUGGAGCGGUGAAAUGCGUUGAUAUCCUAGGGAACACCGGUGGCGAAAGCGGCAUUCUGGAUCUCUUCUGACGCUGAGGCACGAAAGCCAGGGUAGCAAACGGG
rnacentral:rRNA from 1 species